UGGACCUGCGUGCCUCUGCCUUCUCAUGU
rnacentral:piRNA from 2 species